GACGAACGCUGGCGGCGUGCUUAACACAUGCAAGUCAAGGGGGUCUUGGGGGUAACCCUGGGGCAACCGGCGAACGGGUGCGUAACACGUGAGCGACCUACCGCGGUGGCGGGGGAUAGCCGGCCCAACGGCCGGGUAAUACCGCAUACGUUUCGUUUUGGGGGCAUCCCGUGGGAGAGGAAACCUGCGAGGUAAGACUCGGUGGGGCAGCGCGGCGGGGCUCGCGGCCUAUCAGCUAGUUGGGCGGGGUAACGGCCCA
rnacentral:rRNA from 1 species